CACGUAGGGGGCGAGCGUUGUCCGGAUUCAUUGGGCGUAAAGCGCGCGCAGGCGGCUCGGAAAGUCGGGUGUGAAAACUCGGGGCUCAACCCCGGGCGUGCAUCCGAUACUGCCGGGCUUGAGGCAGGUAGGGGAGAUCGGAAUUCCUGGUGUAGCGGUGAAAUGCGCAGAUAUCAGGAGGAACACCGGUGGCGAAGGCGGAUCUCUGGGCCUGUCCUGACGCUGAGGCGCGAAAGCGUGGGGAGCGAACAGG
rnacentral:rRNA from 1 species